rnacentral:siRNA from 1 species
GUAGUGUUGAAAGCAUCAUGUGC